CUGUGAGCUCGAUGAGUAGGGCGGGACACGUGGUAUCCUGUCUGAAUAUGGGGGGACCAUCCUCCAAGGCUAAAUACUCCUGACUGACCGAUAGUGAACCAGUACCGUGAGGGAAAGGCGAAAAGAACCCCGGCGAGGGGAGUGAAAAAGAACCUGAAACCGUGUACGUACAAGCAGUGGGAGCCUCUUUUAUGGGGUGACUGCGUACCUUUUGUAUAAUGGGUCAGCGACUUAUAUUCUGUAGCAAGGUUAACCGAAUAGGGGAGCCGAAGGGAAACCGAGUCUUAACUGGGCGUUAAGUUGCAGGGUAUAGACCCGAAACCCGGUGAUCUAGCCAUGGGCAGGUUGAAGGUUGGGUAACACUAACUGGAGGACCGAACCGACUAAUGUUGAAAAAUUAGCGGAUGACUUGUGGCUGGGGGUGAAAGGCCAAUCAAACCGGGAGAUAGCUGGUUCUCCCCGAAAGCUAUUUAGGUAGCGCCUCGUGAAUUCAUCUCCGGGGGUAGAGCACUGUUUCGGCAAGGGGGUCAUCCCGACUUACCAACCCGAUGCAAACUGCGAAUACCGGAGAAUGUUAUCACGGGAGACACACGGCGGGUGCUAACGUCCGUCGUGAAGAGGGAAACAACCCAGACCGCCAGCUAAGGUCCCAAAGUCAUGGUUAAGUGGGAAACGAUGUGGGAAGGCCCAGACAGCCAGGAUGUUGGCUUAGAAGCAGCCAUCAUUUAAAGAAAGCGUAAUAGCUCACUGGUCGAGUCGGCCUGCGCGGAAGAUGUAACGGGGCUAAACCAUGCACCGAAGCUGCGGCAGCGACACUAUGUGUUGUUGGGUAGGGGAGCGUUCUGUAAGCCUGUGAAGGUGUGCUGUGAGGUAUGCUGGAGGUAUCAGAAGUGCGAAUGCUGACAUAAGUAACGAUAAAGCGGGUGAAAAGCCCGCUCGCCGGAAGACCAAGGGUUCCUGUCCAACGUUAAUCGGGGCAGGGUGAGUCGACCCCUAAGGCGAGGCCGAAAGGCGUAGUCGAUGGGAAACAGGUUAAUAUUCCUGUACUUGGUGUUACUGCGAAGGGGGGACGGAGAAGGCUAUGUUGGCCGGGCGACGGUUGUCCCGGUUUAAGCGUGUAGGCUGGUUUUCCAGGCAAAUCCGGAAAAUCAAGGCUGAGGCGUGAUGACGAGGCACUACGGUGCUGAAGCAACAAAUGCCCUGCUUCCAGGAAAAGCCUCUAAGCAUCAGGUAACAUCAAAUCGUACCCCAAACCGACACAGGUGGUCAGGUAGAGAAUACCAAGGCGCUUGAGAGAACUCGGGUGAAGGAACUAGGCAAAAUGGUGCCGUAACUUCGGGAGAAGGCACGCUGAUAUGUAGGUGAAGUCCCUUGCGGAUGGAGCUGAAAUCAGUCGAAGAUACCAGCUGGCUGCAACUGUUUAUUAAAAACACAGCACUGUGCAAACACGAAAGUGGACGUAUACGGUGUGACGCCUGCCCGGUGCCGGAAGGUUAAUUGAUGGGGUUAGCGGUAACGCGAAGCUCUUGAUCGAAGCCCCGGUAAACGGCGGCCGUAACUAUAACGGUCCUAAGGUAGCGAAAUUCCUUGUCGGGUAAGUUCCGACCUGCACGAAUGGCGUAAUGAUGGCCAGGCUGUCUCCACCCGAGACUCAGUGAAAUUGAACUCGCUGUGAAGAUGCAGUGUACCCGCGGCAAGACGGAAAGACCCCGUGAACCUUUACUAUAGCUUGACACUGAACAUUGAGCCUUGAUGUGUAGGAUAGGUGGGAGGCUUUGAAGUGUGGACGCCAGUCUGCAUGGAGCCGACCUUGAAAUACCACCCUUUAAUGUUUGAUGUUCUAACGUUGGCCCCUGAUCGGGGUUGCGGACAGUGUCUGGUGGGUAGUUUGACUGGGGCGGUCUCCUCCUAAAGAGUAACGGAGGAGCACGAAGGUUGGCUAAUCCUGGUCGGACAUCAGGAGGUUAGUGCAAUGGCAUAAGCCAGCUUGACUGCGAGCGUGACGGCGCGAGCAGGUGCGAAAGCAGGUCAUAGUGAUCCGGUGGUUCUGAAUGGAAGGGCCAUCGCUCAACGGAUAAAAGGUACUCCGGGGAUAACAGGCUGAUACCGCCCAAGAGUUCAUAUCGACGGCGGUGUUUGGCACCUCGAUGUCGGCUCAUCACAUCCUGGGGCUGAAGUAGGUCCCAAGGGUAUGGCUGUUCGCCAUUUAAAGUGGUACGCGAGCUGGGUUUAGAACGUCGUGAGACAGUUCGGUCCCUAUCUGCCGUGGGCGCUGGAGAACUGAGGGGGGCUGCUCCUAGUACGAGAGGACCGGAGUGGACGCAUCACUGGUGUUCGGGUUGUCAUGCCAAUGGCACUGCCCGGUAGCUAAAUGCGGAAGAGAUAAGUGCUGAAAGCAUCUAAGCACGAAACUUGCCCCGAGAUGAGUUCUCCCUGACUCCUUGAGAGUCCUGAAGGAACGUUGAAGACGACGACGUUGAUAGGCCGGGUGUGUAAGCGCAGCGAUGCGUUGAGCUAACCGGUACUAAUGAACCGUGAGGCUUAACCUU
rnacentral:rRNA from 1 species